rnacentral:rRNA from 1 species
UUUUCAGCCGCCGCGGUAACACGUAGGAGACGAGCGUUAUCCGGAUUUACUGGGCGUAAAGCGCGGGUCGGUGGGGUCUUAAGUCAUGCGUGAAAGCUCUCGGCUUAACCGGGAGAGGUCGUGUGAAACUGGGAUUCUCAGAGGUAGGUAGAGGCAGAUGGAAUUCCGGGUGGAGUGGUGAAAUGCGUAGAGAUCCGGAGGAACACCAGUGGCGAAGGCGAUCUGCUAGGCCUGACCUGACACUCAGCCGCGACAGCAUGGGGAGCGAACGGGAUUAGAAACCCCCGUAGUCC